AUUGAACGCUGGCGGCAUGCCUUACACAUGCAAGUCGAACGGCAGCACGGGUGCUUGCACCUGGUGGCGAGUGGCGAACGGGUGAGUAAUAUAUCGGAACGUACCUUAUUGUGGGGGAUAACGCAGCGAAAGCUGAGCUAAUACCGCAUAAUCCCUAAGGGGGAAAGCGGGGGACCGUAAGGCCUCGCGCAAUUAGAGCGGCCGAUACCUGAUUAGCUAGUUGGUGAGGUAAAGGCUCACCAAGGCAACGAUCAGUUGCUGGUCUGAGAGGACGGUCAGCCACACUGGGACUGAGACACGGCCCAGACUCCUACGGGAGGCAGCAGUGGGGAAUUUUGGACAAUGGGGGCAACCCUGAUCCAGCAAUGCCGCGUGAGUGAAGAAGGCCUUCGGGUUGUAAAGCUCUUUUGUCAGGGAAGAGACAGCAGCUCUAACACAGUUUGCGAAUGACGGUACCGGCAUAAGAAGCACCGGCUAACUACGUGCCAGCCGCCGCAGUAA
rnacentral:rRNA from 1 species